GCUGGGCACAGUGGCGCAUGCCUGUAAUUCCAGCGGUUUUGGAGGCUGAAGCAGGAGGAUCGCGAGUUCAAACCCAACGUCAGCAAAACAGUGAGGCACUAAGCAACUCAGUGAGAACCUGUCUCUA
rnacentral:sRNA from 1 species